rnacentral:rRNA from 1 species
AAGUCGUAACAAGGCUUCCGUAGGUGAACCUGCGGAAGGAUCAUUAAACUAUGUGGUACCCGUAAGGGCAUAUCCACGUCGGGUCUCGUCUUUUCGUCGCAGAAAUGCCGCGAACUGAUGGGGCUGUCUGAAAACCCUUGAAUAUAAAACUUUGUUGCUUUGGUGGGCCGCCUCUUCUGGCGUCGGCCCCGGCUGACAGCGCCCGCCAGAGGCCAAAAACUCUACUGUCAUUGACGUCUGAGCACUAUAUAUAAUAGUUAAAACUUUCAACAACGGAUCUCUUGGUUCUGGCAUCGAUGAAGAACGCAGCGAAAUGCGAUAAGUAAUGUGAAUUGCAGAAUUCAGUGAAUCAUCGAAUCUUUGAACGCACAUUGCGCCCCUUGNUAUUCCGGGGGGCAUGCCUGUUCGAGCGUCAUUAUGACCAAUCCCGCAAGGGGNCUUGGGGGUCCGCGGUUCGCUGCGACCCUUAAAAUUAGUGGCGGCGNCGCCNGGGCUCUCAGCGUAGUAAUACUCCUCGCUCGGGAACCACUGUGGAUGCUUGCCAGCAACUCUUGAUUUUCAAAGGUUGACCUCGGAUCAGGUAGGGAUACCCGCUGAACUUAAGCAUAUCAAUAAGCGGAGGAAAAGAAACCAACAGGGAUUACCUCAGUAACGGCGAGUGAAGCGGUAACAGCUCAAAUUUGAAAUCUGGCUCCUGCGGGGCCCGAGUUGUAAUUUGUAGAAGAUGCUUUGGGCGUGGCUCCGGUCUAAGUUCCUUGGANCAGGACGUCAUAGAGGGUGAGAAUCCCGUACGUGACUGGGUGCCUUCGUCCGUGUAAAGCUCUUUCGACGAGUCGAGUUGUUUGGGAAUGCAGCUCAAAAUGGGUGGUAAAUUUCAUCUAAAGCUAAAUAUUGGCCAGAGACCGAUAGCGCACAAGUAGAGUGAUCGAAAGAUGAAAAGCACUUUGGAAAGAGAGUUAAACAGUACGUGAAAUUGUUGAAAGGGAAGCGCUUGCAAUCAGACUUGCGUGUGGUUGAUCAUCCGAGCUUCUGCCCGGUGCACUCGAUCAUACUCAGGCCAGCAUCGGUUUGGGCGGUUGGAUAAAGGCCUUGGGAAUGUGGCUCCUCUCGGGGAGUGUUAUAGCCCUCGGUGCAAUGCAGCCUGUCCGGACCGAGGACCGCGCUUCGGCUAGGAUGCUGGCGUAAUGGUUGUAAGCGACC